GAAUUGAUUUGGAAGUUGAAACUUCAACUUGAAAAUCAGCAACCCUGCUUUUAACAGGUGGACUGGCAGGAGGUGGGCUCACAGCAGGUGGGCUGGCAGCAGCUGGGCUGGCAGCAGUAGCAGCAGCAGGCGGGGCGGCAGCAGGACUGUCCACAGUAGGACGGGCGGCAGCAGGAGGCCUGGGCGUGGUGCAGCUGGCAGCAGGUGGGGGGUAUGCAGCUCACCACACAGCAGGGGGGCAGGCAGGUGUCCUCCACGCGGCAGUCAGGGNNNNNNNNNNNNNNNNNNNNNNNNNNNNNNNNNNNNNNNNNNNNNNNNNNNNNNNNNNNNNNNNNNNNNNNNNNNNNNNNNNNNNNNNNNNNNNNNNNNNAGGUGGGCUGGCAGCAGCUGUUCUGGCAGCAGCUGGGCUGGCAGCAGCUGGGCUGGCAGCAGCUGUCCUGGCAGCAGUUGGGCCGGCAGCAGCUGGAGCCACAGUUCCCGCUGGUGGAGCAGGUGGGAAAUCCACAGAAGCUAGUGGAGCAGCAGGCCAUGGUGUCAGGAGCUCGGCUGAGAGUUGGGUUGCUAAGAGAAGUUUUUUGUGUUUUGCUGGUCACUUCCACGUUGGGCCUUUUAUAGGCCUUGGCCAGCUAUUAUUUACAUAAUUCUCAAAAUGCCUUCCUUGUUUGUAUAUAAAUAAUCUGUCUCUGAAUAAUAAUUGCCCUAUUCCUGAGUUAUUUGUUCAACCUCUGAAAGCCUUUAAAAGUUCAUUUUAUUGGUCUUCAAUUAGGAUUCUUUACCACAGUCAGGUAGUCAUUGGCGUUCAUUGGGUACAUAACCCAUAAUCCCCCAUAUUUGUUAAAAUUUGCUCAUUGCCCUAAGAAUAAUUGAUGCCUCACCUUUACAGAGUGUCAGUAUUACUCAUUGGUGACCCUGAUAAUGGAGCUCUUGGGUCUCACAUGACAGUUUAAUUCCCAGCAACAUGUCUCCAGUGUCAACUGCUGCCCCUUUAUCUUUCUCAUCUUCAAUUUGACUGUGAAGCAAAGUGAUCCAGCUGGCCAGAAAGGGAUGCUUUUUGGGGGGGCUGAGAAAUGUGGAUGAAUUGUUACUGAUCACAGAUUCUGGAGCACGUAUGUGCCCAAGUGGUUCUGACCACUUUAUAUCUGUUGCUGAGGUUCACACCAACAAGUGGUGAAUCUGAAAUUUGAACCUAUGCCAUCUGACUCCAAACUAAACUCUUCAACCACUACAGUCAAUACCCUGUUUUCCAUGUCAGCAAUUGUUCCAGAGAAACUCAAAGGGUAAAGGAAAGAUGUAAAAAUUUGCCCACUCUUAACUGUUUUUCAAGUCAAGGGAAGAAAUGCAGAGCUUAAGGUGAAUAAUAACACUAUUAGAAACUUCUCUGAAAAAAAAAUUUUUUUGACUACAUAACAAGCUUCAAGAAAAUUUUGUGUGCUAAAAUGGUUGACCUCCUUGACUUGUGACUUCAUUCAAUCUUUGAUAUUAGGAUGUCCUAUAGAUCUAAAUGUCCUUAACUGUAUAAAAAUCACACUCAGUAUAUUAACACUGGAACAUGUGACAUACCAUACUACAUUAGAUCAGCAUGCAGUUUACUGUAGAUAUUAGCAAACUAUAAUAUAGUUUGAAUGAGGCAGCAGAUGAGGUUGAAGAUGAAGGUUUUGUACAGGUACAAUGAAAGGUGACCUGGCCUUCAUUGAGUAUGGACUCUGUUACAGGCAAAUGGAUGUUAAAAUGCCACUUACAUAGUUUGAACCAGAAUACUGGGUGUUAGUUUCUGCUUCUUCAGGAAUGACAGUUUUGAGUUUAGACCAUAAUUCUUCCCAAAUCAGAAUGAAGGCAUUUACAAAUCCCACAUCAAAUUUGAAUUCAAAGGUAUGUGAUUUUUUUACUUGCUCUCCUUAAGCAAGUCUACAUCAUGGAUUCUUCGAUUAGCUAAUUUUCCCACUGUGGAUGUUUGGAGUAUGUAGAUUUGUCCCUAUUAUAAUCUCAGGAGCUAUUUAAUUCAUAUCUAAAUUCAGUAUCUUUGAUACUAAAAGCAUUUAUCUCCCCUUGCAAAAAAUUCAGAUAUUUGAGGAGUUGAAAUACCUACUGACUAGGGCACCAGGGAUAGGUAGUGUUAUCUGUUGGGUCUCCAUUUUUAUGCUUUUCUGCUGUGGCACUGUUUUCAACAUCUCCCUUGGUGCAAAAUUUAACUCAAUUUUCAUUUUUCUGGUCUUUAGCUGCCCUCAGAGAAUUACUAAUAAUAAGUGUUUUUAGGCGGAGUUCUCCAGAGAAACAGAACCAGUAGGAUAUAUAUCCAUAGAAAGAGAUUUAUUGUGAGGGAUUGGUUCACACAAAUGUGGAGGCCCUCACCAGGAGCACUGAAGUAUGAGGGCAGGAGAAGAUGGCUGUCCCAACUUAAGCCGUAGAACAAUUCGCCCUUCCUCUCCCUUUCUGUUCUAUUUGGGGUCUCAAUGAUUUCGAUGAUCCACAUUGUCCAUCCACAUUGGUGAAGGCAAUCUAAUUUACUCAUUCUACAGACUCAUAUGCUAAUUCCUUCCAUGAACACCCUCACAGACACACCCAGGAAUAAUGUUUUACUAGCUGUUUGGGGAUCCCUUAGCCCAGUCAAGUUGAUACAUAAAAUUAACCAUGACAUAAGGUAUGACACUUAAAAUUUGAGAAUUCUCCUCUUUUGCCACAGACUAAUCUGAACAUUCCCUUAUCUCUCCUAAAGAAAUCAAGAAAAUAAAAUUAUUUACUCCAUUUCUUCUUGAUUGGUUUUCAUACAAAUAGAGUAAGAAGUUAUAAUCAAUUUGUGAUAUUUUCCUGUGUAGAUUUUAUGACCGUUUAAAUGCUGGAAAUCACUAUCUAUUGUCUUCUUGGAGAAAAGAAUGCCAGUAACUUUACAUUUAAAAUGAUUUUAUUACAAGGCUUAUUCUCUUUGGUUUUCAUUACUUCAUUUAAGCGAUGGGGUCCAGAUCCAAUAGUAUCAUAAGAAGAAAGGAUGUGUUUGUCUCUUAUUGAAUGUCUGCCUUCUGUUUAUAGAUAUUAAUAUAUUGAGUUAUUUUUCUUUAAGGUGCCAUGGUUCUAGGUUUCUUAUUGUAAGUUUGGGGGUUCUUUCAAUUCCUUAAGCUCCAUUUUACUAGUUCUCUAGUUCAGUUGCAUCUGCCAUAGAUUCCUGAGUGAUAAGACAUGGUUGAUAUAGGAACCAGUUGAACAUCCCCAACUUUUUACUCUAAAUCAAGUAAUAAGAUCUUUUUCUCUUCUGAAUGCCAACCUGGCUCUUUUGGUGCUUUGAGAUAAAGCCAUUCUAAGUAAAAGUAAGUACAUCCUAACCCAUUGAAAGACAAGAGAGUGGUAUUUGAGGGACAUCGAGCAUUAAACAUGUUUUAGACACAUUGUGUAUGAAUGUGUGGGUUGUGCCCUGAUGGGGGAGGCUCUGUCCACUCAGAAGAAGGAGAAUCUUUCUCAUAUAAAGAUGAUGUAGGCUCAGUAAGCUGUGUAUUCUUCAAACUGUUUCUACCUAAAGGUGAUGUCUUUUUCUAAUUCUGGUAAGGUUGUGCUAGUGAAGACCCCAUCCCUUUGACUUACUUCUUUUUCUUUUUUUUAAGUGUUUAUUUAUAUUUGAGGAGGGGAGGGGCAGAGAGAGAGGGAGACAGAGGAUCUGAAGCAGGCAUGAGGAUGCUGAAGCAGAGAGCCCAACGUGGGACUCAAACUCACAAACCAUGAGAUCAUGACUGAGCCGAAGUUGGAUGCUGAGCCAACUGAGCCACCCAGGUGCCCCUGACUUAGUUACUUUUUAAAUCGAGGUGAAAUUCACAUAAUAUACACUAAACCAUUUUAAAAUGUACAGUUGAGUGGCCUUUAGUGCAUUCACCUUGUUAUGCAGCUACCAUUCCUCUGUCUGGUUUAAAACCUUUUUCAUCACCGAGAAUACCACCUGAUAAUCUUUAGUAAUUACUCCCCAUUCCCCCUUUCUCUCCAGCCAGUGAUUUACCACUUUGAUUUUAUAAUCAAAGAUUUUAUCCGUCAAAAUGGAAGUUCUUAUUAUGUAUUUUUUAUUUGAUCCUUGCUUCAUUCUAGAACUUUCUCUGGAGAUUAGAAUAAGAAUGGGCACAGUGUAUGCCAGUAUCAUGCUCGUUUAAAUCCAUUCUUGUGAUGAAUAUCUAUUUUCUAGUUCACGGUACAUGAACGAAUUGUAUAGAUGUUGUAGAAGCACCAGUUGAAAUUCCCUUUCAUCAUUUUCCAAAGUAUAUUUUGAGGAACACUAGUGUUACAGGAUGCUAGUUGGUAAUGAAUGGAGUAUUCCCCAACUAAAUCAGUUUGGGAGUAAUAGUUAUAGAGCUUUCUUUAAUAUUCUGAUGUGUUUUAUAAACCUUCAACAUGGUGCAAAUGCAUGCAACAUUACUUGACCAUUGAAUAAUUUUUCCUCAUUGGGCGUCUGAAGAGACUAAUUGUCAGUGCAUCACCUGUUUAGGAAAUAAUCCAUCCUGUGCCUGGGAGAGAAGCUGUAAGCAAUGAAUGUCAAUUCUUUUGUUUUCCAGUUUUUCUAACCUGGUGCCCAGGCGGGUGAAGGGCCUUGCUCCAGAAUCCAUGGGUCCGGGGCUCCUAAGUGGCUCAGUUGGUUAAGCCUGCAACUCUUGGUUUCAGCUCAUGUCAUGCUCUCAUAGUGUCUGGGUUCGAGCUCCACAUGGGGUUCUGCACUGACAGUAUAGAGCCUGCUUGGGAUUUUCUCUCUCUCUCCUCUCUCCCCCGCUCUCUCUCCCUCUCAAAAUAAAUAAAUAAACUUAAAAAAAAAUAAGAAUGCUUGGGUUCUUAGUUAUAAAGUGGGGAUUAGAACUUGAGAUGUCUUUAUAUCUUAUGCUAGUACUUUGAAAUCUUAUGCUUCCUGUCUUUCCAAUUAUGUAUUAUCCUUUUAUAUCCCAGAUAGUUGAAAGACUUGUACACAGAAUUGUAUAUGAAGGAAGUGAAUAAAUUUGGCAAUAUCUCAAGAAACUAAAUAACAUAAAAAUUCCUUUUUGUAAAAUUGAUCUUCUGGAACACCUAGCCUGUCAAUUUGCACAUGUGAGGACCUUGGAGAAUAGUUCCUUAAUACUGAUAUAUUCUUUUACCAUAGAUUUUGGCUGUAGAAUAUUGGACCAUUUAAUGGUAAAACAAAGGAAAACCAUUUUUUAAAGACCUUUAAAAAAGGGAAAAAUAAAAAAACACCAUAGUGCCAUACCACAGUUACUGAGAUUUUGAAAAAUCCAACCCCAAUAUCAAUAACAAAUUCCAAAGAAAAGAAAGCUCCAACAAUGACUUUGUCAUUGAAGAAUAAAAAUUUUAUUAAAUCCCAAAUCCAAUGAGCUGUUGAACUAUUUCAGGUGGUAUUUAUAGUAAAAAUUUUAUACAUUCCUCUUAACCUUGUAGGACUUCUGUUCGUGUCCAGGUUUAUGAAGUAUUUUUGGUUUUCGAUUAUAAAUUAAUUUACAUCUUAGGAAAUUUUGUAGCCAUUUGCAAGCUGUGUUAUGAGUAUUGGAGCUCAGAAGUUCAUCGGGACUCUACAUUGCCUCAUUGUGAAGUGCCAGUUUCUUAGGAUUCCUUUCGAAAGAGAUUUUCAACAGGUGGACUGGCAGGAGGUGGGCUCACAGCAGGUGGGCUGGCAGCAGCUGGGCUGGCAGCAGUAGCAGCAGCAGGCGGGGCGGCAGCAGGACUGUCCACAGUAGGACGGGCGGCAGCAGGAGGCCUGGGCGUGGUGCAGCUGGCAGCAGGUGGGCUGGCAGCAGCUGUUCUGGCAGCAGCUGGGCUGGCAGCAGGUGGGCUGGCAGCAGCUGUUCUGGCAGCAGCUGGGCUGGCAGCAGCUGGGCUGGCAGCAGCUGUCCUGGCAGCAGUUGGGCCGGCAGCAGCUGGAGCCACAGUUCCCGCUGGUGGAGCAGGUGGGAAAUCCACAGAAGCUAGUGGAGCAGCAGGCCAUGGUGUCAGGAGCUCGGCUGAGAGUUGGGUUGCUAAGAGAAGUUUUUUGUGUUUUGCUGGUCACUUCCACGUUGGGCCUUUUAUAGGCCUUGGCCAGUUCCUGUUUUGUGAUGGACAGCAUUUUUAUCCUGUUACUCCUUAAACAAGCUUUUCCAGAGCCCUUUGAUUGUUCAAAUACUGUUAUUUUAACUACAUCCCCAAAUUAGUUUUUCCUUUAUUGCUAAGCUAAUACUCACUAAACGUGUCCAUCCUUGGUAGAAAUGUUGUUGUUUCAUUUCCACGCAAUGCUGUAAUUUUUCCUCAAGUCUCAGCUUCCAUUCUGCAUUUAUGGUCACAUCACCUGACCAAGUGACUCUCACUGAUAAGAUGACACAAUUUGGGGGUCAUAUUUACCAAAAUUCAAGUCUCCGGGAAAAAAUGUUAACAAUUGACUGCUAUUUAUGUAAGACUAUUUUCCAUUAUAUAUGAUUAAUAAGAUUAUAGUCUCUAUAAUCAGGCAGAUAGAAACUCUGAUAAACUUCACAUUAAUAGAAAUGCAUUUAGUUUCCAGAAAAUGGUCUCCAAUUUCAGUGAUCUCUCCUGAACUCCACACAUUCAUACUUGAGAAAACACCACUCAGGAGGAUACAUAGAACAAAAACUGUUCCAUUGCAACUUACUGUGGAUAUUUUAUUAGCCUGAAUUUAAAAGAAGGGCUAAAAUUGAUAACCAGCAAUUAGGAAAAUAUCUCGCAAAAUUUUAAAAGUAAUUUAUAUUUUUCUAUGAAAGAUAAAAAUCACUGGUCUGUGGAUUAUCUAGACUGUAUUUAUUUCUCAAAGGUGGGAUUUGUCUUCAGUUUAUGUCAUUUUAUGUAACUACACUCUGUGUCCUAUGAAAGGAUGUUAGACCAAAGAGCAUGACAAUCCAAUUUAUGAAGGGGAAUCACUAAGAGAAAAAGUAGAAGUUAAGAAAUGCUUCUUCUGGAUCACAGUGUUUAUAAGGCAAGGUAGGAAAUGGAUGGUCAGAUAUCAUCCAAUAGGUAUAAGUGAAAAGAGAUUAAGUGUACUUUGCACUUAAGGUAUAAGUGUAAAUGGGUUGAUGUUGUGGUAUGGACCACUUUUAAUUUCCCCUCAGCAUGAGUUGAUGUUAGAAUACUGUUGAGUCUAGGAAUGGCUAUAUUUUGGAGAAGUUAGUGACUUGCUCCAUUUGCACAGUACACAGCCAGAGAACUGGGUAUAAAUUUCAGCAAAACAAAUUUGAAAUAAUUUUGGUGGUUGCCAAAAUAAAGAAUAUCAUUUUCCAUUUGCUGUUUAGGGUUAUAUUGGGGGAAUGAAAAAAAAAGUGGUGGCCAAAGAGCCUAUUAUUGUUACUUGUGGUAGGUUUGUCCCUUCCUUCCAAUCUUGAAUAAAAACAUCACAUCUUGAAUAAAAACUAACACUCACAUAGUUAGCUUUUUAUGAGAUGGAGGUAUUGGUUUGUACAGCGAGAGAAUUACAUUAGAAUGUGAUUCAUGCCAGUGUCAAGAAAGAUGUUCAUGUCAUGUGAUAACCAUGACUGUAGGUAUGAAGUUGAAAAAUGGUUGAAGGAAUCCUCAAAUGUCAGAGAUCAAAAACUUAGUAAAUCAUCUGUCCAAACAUUUAAUUGUAUAGGUACUGACAUCAUUGUUUUUAUAAAUAGCAAAUGUUUAUUAAGUCAUCAUAUUUUACCCAGAGCACUAAAGGGUUGUGCAGAAAGCCAGAUUCAGUCUGUCUGCUUCAUAUCUUGCUCCAGUUUAUGAAUCAUUAUAAUACUGAUAGGGGGGCUGAAUCAAGGAAAAGAGUCAAAUAUAUUACCAUCCAUCCUCAUAGUUUUAAAUUGGAACACUGAUGUUGUAAUACGGACUGCUUUUUUGAAAGUGUUUAUUUAUUCUGAGAGAGAAAGAGAGGGAGAGGCCUAUGAGCACAAGCAGGUGAGGGGCAGAGGGAAAGAGAAAGAGAAUCCUCAGCAGGCUCUGCAUUGUGAGUGCAGAGCCCAAUGAGGGGUUUGAUCUCAUGAACUGUGAGAUCAUGACCUGAGCUGAAAUCGAGAGUGGGACGCUUAACCAACUGAGCCACCCAGGUGCCCCCAGACUGGUUUUUAUUUCCUUUCAGCAUUUGCUGAUGUUAGAAUACUACUGAGUCUAGGAGUGGCUGCCUUUUGGAAAUUUUAAUGACUUGCUUUAGUCAGACAGUACACAGCCAGCAGAGCAGGGUAUAAAACUCCUGUCUCUCCUUCCUACAUCAGUUAUAGCUGUUUUACUUUAUUUUAUACAAUGCUAUUUUCCAGGAGCAAUUAAUUCUUAAAACUCUUUGUCUCAGGGUGCCUGGAUGGCUCAAUUGGUUAAGUUUUUGACUCUUGAUUUCAGGUUGGGUCAUGAUCUCAGUGUCGUGGAAUUGAGCCCCACAUUGGGCUCUGUGCUGACAGCAUGGAUCCUACUUGGGAUUCUCUCUGUCCCUCUUUCUAUCUCUGCCCCUUGCCUGUGCUCUCUCUCUCUCAAAAUAAGUAAAUAAACAUUAAAAAAAAAAAACCCUCUUUGUCUCCUUUUUCAAAAAAUGUUCUAUAAUAGUCCAAGAAUAGAAAUAGUAGCUACAGGCAGAAAUGCUAUGGAGUAGUAACUUUAAACACACAGUAAAUAAGUAUAAAUAUGUUAAGAUUCUUUUAAGUGUCUUCUGAUCAGAGGAGUUUUCCCUAGAGCUGCAAUAACACAUUUGAUUCUUAAUUGUUUUUUGUUUCCCACAUUCAUAUUAGGUAAUAUGCCUUCUGGGUUUCUAUGUCUGACAUACUCUUUGUGUCUUCUUUAUUCCAUGGCUAUCGUCCUAGUUCAGCUCGUACUGUGUAUCGCUUGGACCAGUUCAGUGGCCUCUUGACUUGUUUCUGUAUAGCCAUUAUAUUGUCUAGCCUUUGGCCUUCCUUUUUGAUAAACAACUACCAUAGGAAUCAUCCUGAUGCCCAAUGCCUGUCAUGCCAUUCAGUUGCCCCAAGGGUUUCAACAACUCCUUAGUAUUUACUGCAUUAAGGGCAUACUACUUUGGUUACUAUUCAAAGCACACACACUUCCCAAAUUUAUCUUCCGCUGUUAUUCUACAUGUAUCCUGUGUUCCCAGCCAAAGUAUCCUCUGAACAAGCCCUCUUUCUAUACCUUAGUGCAUACCGUUACCAGUGAAAAUGACAUCUUCCUUUAGAUCUGCAUGCUGAAAUCUUAACUUCUGUAAAAUGCUAGCUUCCUUUUUGGUCUUUCUUGUUCUCCCCAGUCAGUAGUGAUAUUUUGAUACACCGAAGUAUGUUGUACUUUUUUUUUCAUUUUCUAAUUUUUAGGUGCAUUAUCGUGAAUUUCAUUUAUCUCCCUAGAAGUUUCUUGAAGAGGGGAAUAUUUUUAACUCACUUUAAUUUCUAUUGUAUACCAUACAGUCUGUGACUUGCAGAUGGUAGGCAGUACAUUUCGUUAUAUUUAAAAUUAGUGAAAAACGUUAGAAUAAAUAAGAAAAACGAAAUAUGGGUUUGCUAGGCCAAAGAAGAGAAGUUUAUUAGAAAACAAACAUGCCACAAGACCUAAGAUCUAAGGUGGGAAGAAGGGAGUUGAUACUGUUACAAAGACUUGAGAACACCCCAAGUCUUAACAGGUAAGCCUGGAUCUCCAUUCAAACCCUGGUUGACUUGGGGUCUUGAUGAUUUAGGGCAGGAGGUUUCUUAGGUAGAGAAAGGAGUAUGACUCUUUCAGAAGGUUGAUUGCUUGUUCUAGACCGUGCACUUAGUAGCAGCAGGAGGUCCUGCAGGUGGUGCGGCAGGGGGCAGGCUGGCAGCAGGGGGGGCGGCAGCAGGGCGCCUGCACAGAGAUGGGCUGGCAGCAGGUGGAGGCCCAGCAGCAGGGGCGGCAGACCACGGCCGUGCAGGACGUGGGGCAGNNNNNNNNNNNNNNNNNNNNNNNNNNNNNNNNNNNNNNNNNNNNNNNNNNNNNNNNNNNNNNNNNNNNNNNNNNNNNNNNNNNNNNNNNNNNNNNNNNNNNNNNNNNNNNNNNNNNNNNNNNNNNNNNNNNNNNNNNNNNNNNNNNNNNNNNNNNNNNNNNNNNNNNNNNNNNNNNNNNNNNNNNNNNNNNNNNNNNNNNNNNNNNNNNNNNNNNNNNNNNNNNNNNNNNNNNNNNNNNNNNNNNNNNNNNNNNNUCGCGGCAGCAGCAGGGCUGGCAGCAGCCUCCCCCGCAGCCCAGGGAGGAGCAGGUGGAGCCGCAGCAGGAGCCGGACAUGGUGGUGUCUGGGGCUGGUUUGGGUCGGAGGGGUGAGAGGAUUCGGGUGUUGUCAGGUGUGAAUGCCUCCCUCCUGCUCUGGGGCUUUUAUAUACCCUGAGCGGGUCCUGAUGACCCCCACCCCCAUUUAUCUUUUGGCCAAUUGAGUACAGUUUUGUUUUGACUAAUGAUUGCAUUGCUUGUGACAUACUCAUGAUCUCAUUAAAGAACUCUGUUGCAUUCCUAAAUACGGAUAUAUUCAUGCUGUUCAUCAUCAAAAUCUAAGCACUCAGUCAUUUGAGGUGAUAGCAACUCUUGAUGCUUAUUUUGGGUAGAUAGCACCUGAUGAAUCCUGGGCAAAAUGGUCCUAAAGGAACCGCAAGUUUUAAAAGAAAUGAAAGAAAUUAAACAUACAGCGGUUUCUAGAGAACUGAGUGGAUCCUGUCCUUGACCCCUAGGGGAUGCCCUGAGAAACCUACAUGUUAAUCAGACGGGUGUUAGACAUGUCUUCACAUGUGGACUCCUUGGGACUUUAUUUACAUAUCACUUGAUACAAUGGAAUGCAUGUACUUUGAAUAAGACUGUAGCUCUGAUAUUUGUAUGGGAAAGAUAAAAGGUUAUUUUUGUAAACCAAGUAAGUAUUGGAAUAAAACACCCAAGGCUGCCUUCCAUUUUUUUCUUCAGCUCAGCUUUGAGCAGCUAUGGGCCUUCUGCUCAUAGCAUAUUGAUUUUUCAUCUCUGACACAUGACAUUUUCUAUAUUUGCCUUUCUUGUGUGUAAGCUAGAGAAUCAUAUAAUGGGAAGUUUUUUCUUAAUAUACCUUGACAUGGGUACUGUGACUAAGAAGUGAUAAGAUGGAGGUUUUUAACCAGCAUUGCAGACAUACACAACACAUUGAUCAGAGGAGGUAUGUGGGAGGCUGCCCAGCUGUUCGGUGGCAGCACUGCUGGAAAUGUGAGGGACAUGCUUCUUAGGGAAGGGUCACCAGAAGCGUUUGGGGAAAUGCAUGGGGGGAACAGUCUCAUUACUUUACAGCUUUUCUCCUGUUGCUAUGCACCAGAUAGGGUUUUGGGUCACUUAGGAUCAUUCCCAUCGUUCAGAAGAAUGUGCCUCAGGCCCCAGGAGCUAAAGCUCCCCAAGUGGAAUUUUGAACAUAAUUUCAAAACCUUAAAAGGAAUGUAAACCGACUGAACAUAUAGUCAUAAUCAGGGAAACAGAGGAGGGAGAAAUGAAGCACAGUCACAUCAUGAGGACAUUCGACUCUCUCAUGUUUCACGUUCUUUCUCUGGUCCAUAGACACAUGAUUUUUUUCAAAGCAGUAACCAGAGCCUAGAUAAAAACUUGUGUAUUCUGCCCUUUUUUUGUUCUUUUUCCCAGCUUCAUUGAGAUAAAAGUGACCUACAACAUAGUGUAAGCUUCAAGUGUGCAUUGUGAUGACGUGAUGCAUUAUAUAUUGCACAGUGCUUGCUGCAGUAAGGCUACACAUCCUUCUCCCACCUUGCAUAAUUAUCAUCUUAUUAUUGUUUUCAUGGUGAGAACAUUAGAGCCCUACUCGACUGGCAGCUUUUUUUUUUUAUUUAAAAAAAAAUUUUUUUUAAAUGUUUAUUUUUUUUGAGACAGAGAGAGACAGAGAAUGCACGGGGGAGGGUCAGAGAGAAAGGGAGACCCAGAAUCGGAAGCAGGCUCCAGGCUCUGAGCUGUCAGCACAGAGCCCGACGCGGGGCUUGAACUCACAGACCAUGAGAUCAUGACCUGAGCCAAAGUCGGACGCUCAACCAACUGAGCCACCCAGGUGCCCCAUCUCCUAGCAGCUUUCAAAUAUACAAUAUAUUAUUAACUGUAGUCUCCGUGCUGUACAUUAGAUCCCUGGAAAUUAUUCAUCUUAUAACGGACAAUUUAUAUCCUUUGACCAAAAUCUUCCCAUUUCUUCUACCUCUCAGCCCCUGACAAACACUUUUCUACUCUGUAUGAGUUCGAUAUUUUUGACUCCAAAUAUAAGUGACAUCAUGCAAUAUUUGUGUUUUUAUGAUUUACUGCACUCAGUAUAGUUCCUCAAGGUCCAUCUGUGUUGUUGGAAUUGGUAAGGUUUUAGUCUUUUUUUAUGGUUAAUACUUCACUAUAUAUUUUUAUAUAUAUUUAUAUAUAUUUACAUAUACUUAUAUACAUAUUUACAUAUAUAUUUAUAUAUUUACAUAUAUAUUUAUAUACUUACAUAUAUAUUUAUAUACUUACAUAUAUAUUUAUAUAUUUACAUAUAUAUUUAUAUAAAUAUAUAUGCAAAACACAACUAUUGCAAGACUUCUCUUGGAAUACACACAUGCAUCAUAUAUAUCAUUCAUAUAUAUGUAUGCUCUGUGUGUAUACACAUAUAAUCACAUUUUUUUUAUCCAUUCAUGUGUCAUUGGACAUUUAGGUUGUUUUAAUACCCUGGUUAUUGUGAACUAAUGCUUUAGUGAACAUGGGAGUGCAGAUAUCUCUUUGAGAUCAUGAAUUUAUGUCCUUUGGAUGUAUACCCUGAAGUGGGAUUGCUGGGUCAUAUGGUAGUUCUAUUUCUAAUUCUUUGAGGAAUCUCUGUACCCUUUUCCACUGUAGCUGUGCCAAACUAUAUUCUUACCAACAGUGCACCAGGGUUCGCUUUUCUCCCUCACCAGUAUUCUCUCUUAUCUUUUUGAUAUUAGCCAUUCUAACAGGUUGAGGUGAUACCUCAUUGUGGUUUUGAUUUGCAUUUCCCUGAUGAUUACUGAUGUCAAGCACUCUGUUGGCCAUCUGUAUGUUUUCUUUGGGAAAAUGUCUGUUCAGGUCCUCUGCCUAUUUUUCAAUCAAAUUGUUUUUUUUUUUUUGUUUGUUUGUUUUGCUUUCUGUUUUUGUUUUUAUUAUUGGGUUAUAGGAAUUCCUUGCGUAUUCUGGAUAUUAACCCCUUAUUGGAUAUAUACUUGGUUUGCAAAUGCUUUCUCCCAUUUGCCUUUCCAUUUUGUUCAUUGUUUCUUUUGCUCUGCAGAAGCUUGUUAGUUCAAUGUAGUCCUGCUUCAAAAAAGCUGAUUUUUACUUUCGUUACUUAUGCUUAGCUCUUUUCAAGCCAUACUGUCUCAGUCAACUUUUCAUGUUGUUGGGGGUAUUCAUGAUGAUAACAUUUUGUGCAAAGGGGGCCUCUUUGAGACAUACAUAAAACCUCAACUUAGUUAACGAGACUAAUUUCUCUAAACAUUUCUUUUUUUUAAUGUUUGUUUAUUUUGAGAGAGAGAGAGCGCGAGCAAAAGCACACAUGAGUGGGGGAGGGGCAGAGAGAGAGAGAAUCCCAAGCAGGGUCUGUGCUAUCAGCACAGAGUCUGACACGGGGCUCGAUCUCAUGAGCCAUGAGGUCAUGACCUGAGCCAAUAUCAAGAGUCAGACACAGCUGACUGAGCCACCCAUGCACCCCUACUCUGAACACUUCUGAUUCCAAAUUGUUCCAAAGAGAUUUUUUUUUCCUCUUCGUAAAGAUCCACAAAGAGUGCGUGAGUCCCUCAAUAAGCAGUUCUGGUGCUAUUCAGUCUAAGAUGCUCAUCCUCAGCCCAUAAACUUCAUCUCUAGGCAGAGAAAAUAGGGGUUGUGUUUCUGUAAUUCGUGCCACAGAGCUCUGUGAUUUGACAUUGGUGGCAAGUCCUAUGGUAUUUUUUUAAUGCUACUUAUUCUAAAAUCAGACAACAUUCAUUGAAAACUUUGCCAUUUACUGGCUGUGUGUCCUUGGGCCAUGAGUAAUGAUAGUACACACCCAGGUUGUUGUGAACAGUAAAUAAGCUAAUAUUUGUAAGCACUAAGAACAGUGCCUGGCACUUAGCAACUGCCUUGUGUUUGUUAAGUAAAUAAAUAUAUUUUGGGGCGCCUGGGUGGCGCAGUCGGUUAAGCGUCCGACUUCAGCCAGGUCACGAUCUCGCGGUCCGUGAGUUCGAGCCCCGCGUCAGGCUCUGGGCUGAUGGCUCGGAUCCUGGAACCUGUUUCCGAUGCUGUGUCUCCCUCUCUCUCUGCCCCUCCCCCGUUCAUGCUCUGUCUCUCUCUGUCCCAAAAAUAAAUAAAAAACGUUGAAAAAAAAAUUUAAAAAAAAUAUAUAUUUUAAAAAGUCCUGUUAUGUGGAUGCCUUGUAAACUCUAAAUUUUGAACUUAGAAUAAAGAUGAACAUAUAUGGCAAAUGGCUUUCUCUGCCAAGUAACCACAGACUGUACACUAAAUAAGAUUAUCCAGUGGAGAGUUUCACUAAUAACAUUAAAUAAAAUAAAAAUACCUGGAAGGGAGUUAUACAGCUCCCUCUUUUGAACACCAAUUUCUGGGAAGGGGAGUUAGGUUAUUGUUGAAGAAACUAUAAGGAGAAUACGUGUCGGAUUUGUGGCCUGAACCUUACCGAGAACCCCACAGUCUUUGCAUCACACAGUGAGUUCUUAGAAAAACAUCCUUUUUAAAAAAAGCCUUAAAACUGAUUUAGACAGGUUCCUGGUGGUGAUGGGCAACGUAUUUUGUAUUACUAAUGCUAGGGCUUUAUUUAACACUAUCAUUCAACAAUAACGUUAUGAACAAAUUUUAACAUGGAAAAUAGUGUCUUAUGUUCUUAAUUAUCAAUUCUUCAUACAAAGGGAGAAAAUUAAUAAUACCUAUAAUUUGAAACAGCUAACAAUUUUUUAAAGUUCUUAAUUUGGAACAUAUCAAAUUGCAUACCUUAUUUUAUGCAAUUGAGAUGAUCCUGAAAAGUUAAAAUAUGAAUCAGUGUUUUUUUUUUUAAAUUUUUUUUUUCAACGUUUAUUUAUUUUUGGGACAGAGAGAGACAGAGCAUGAACGGGGGAGGGGCAGAGAGAGAGGGAGACACAGAAUCGGAAACAGGCUCCAGGCUCUGAGCCAUCAGCCCAGAGCCUGACGCGGGGCUCGAACUCCCGGACCGCGAGAUCAUGACCUGGCUGAAGUCGGACGCUUAACCGACUGCGCCACCCAGGCGCCCCUGAAUCAGUGUUUAAUAAUUUGAUCAGAGUUUGGAGGUAUCAGAGAAGUCCACUAUAUAUAGCAUAGUGGUACACUCUUCUAUAGAUAAUAAAAUACUUCAUAUGAGUACAGUUGGCUGCUGUGUAAUUAUCUGCUUUAAAUCCACUUAGAUUCUCAUAGGUAGGUUUUUAAAAGCAGAGCACAAUCAAGAGUAAGGUUUAAAUGUUUUUCCCAAAAUAAAUACAGGUUUUGGAUAGUACAUUCCACUAAAAAUAAAAUAUAUGUUCAUUUUAAAUGAUAUAAUUAAGAAAAAUACCAAGAAGAAAAUGAGUAUUAUCCCCAAUUACUCUUAGAUUUUGUUGCAUUUUGUUUAUUUUAUUUUUUAAAUUUUUCUUUUAAUGUUUACUUAUUUUGAGAGAGAGAGAAAGAGUGCACAUGUGAGUUGGGGAGGGACACGGAGAGAGAGGGAGAGAGAGAAUCCCAAGCAGGCUCCACGCCACCAGCUCAGAGCCCAGUGCAGGGCUCGACCCCACAAACCAUGAGAUCAUGACCUGAGCCAAAAUCAAGAGUCAGUCACUUAACCAACUGAGCCAUCCAGGCACUCCCACAUAAUGUUUUAAAUACGUUUUAGGCAUAAGCACACAUAGACAUGCAGAAUACAUUUUUUCUCACAAAAUAGUUUAAUAUUUUACAACUUGCUUAAUUUUAACUUAAAUAUGGGACAAGACAAUUGCAUCAUGUUUCCUAGUAAGUUUAUAAUCUUAAACUAUUUUUAACUACUUAUGGCAUUUCUUCUAUAUUUAUGUUGCUUAUAUUAUGUUUGACUUUUUUUUUCUUAUUUAUACCUUAUCUCCCUAAAUGGAUUAUAACCUCUUUGAAGCAUAUUUUAUUCUUUUAUUCUUUCAUGUUUCCUCAGGAUGGUCUCCACUCAGUGUCUUAUUCAUAGAUGUUCAACAAACAGGUGAAGAUUGACAGUGAUUGAUUAAUUUUCUUGGAAAAUGCCAUUACUGCCCAGUUGCUGAGUACAAAGAUAAUCAGCUCUUGAGAGCCAGUGUGGAUUAAAUACCCACAAGAGUUGACACCGCAAAUAACAUUCUAAAUAAAUAACAGUCAUAAUAAAAUAACUGCCAGAUGUUUAAUGCAUAGAAAGGAGCGCAUUAUCUGAAGCUGCAGUUACUCUUGGCCAGAGAAGACCUGAGUUCUUCUGGGCAGAAGAACAUGUCUCCUACCAUAUUAAGAUGAAGUGUUUGACUUAAGGGCUUAAUGUCAGGGGGUUCGCAUUCUCCUAGGUCUUUUCUAAACAUCAGCGAUUAUAACUAUAUUAGGAAGAAACUUAAUUUAAUCAUCCAUUACUCAUCGCUCUUCAGCUUUAAAAACAUGGGUUUGGCCAGAUGUUGCCUAAGGUUAUUUCCACGUCUAACAUACUGAGUUUCCUAAAUUGUGCUUAGAACAGGUGUCAGGUCAGUGAAUGAACCCUUGGACCAGGGGUGGGUGUGUCAGCUCAGAUGCAGCCUCCUCACUGGGUGUUGUUAAAGGACAUCUCUCAGAUGUUUGGCAUGUCUGGAAUUGUGAGCACAUGUGAUGAAGAUACAGCCAUGUCCACUUUUCUCACUUGGCAACUAUGCCUUAUAAAUGCCACUUACAAGGAUAAUAAGGAAACUACCCAGAGUUAGGUUAUUUCAGAGAAGAAUUUGAGAGGAUCAUUCUGCAUCUUGCUUUGAAUAUCUCUGGACAAAACAGAAAGAACCUACUGGGAGGAAGUAUCACAAAGACCAUGAUUUCUAUGCUGGAAAUACUAAGUUUAUUAGAAAACAGAAGACAUAAUUGAGGAGUUAGACUGGGGUCCUGAGAGGACAAGGUACUCUUCCUCGGUAGUCAGUCUGAAAAGGGGGCUCCAAGGCCUACUCUGAGCCAGACUGAAGAGAUGAGAAAUGGGCUUCUCAGGAAAAGGCAUGUUGUUCUGUCUUGAAGUUAAGAGCAGAAUGGACCCCACACCAUCUACUGGGGACCCUUAGUGAUGAUGCACUUAGUAGCAGCAGGAGGUCCUGCAGGUGGUGCGGCAGGGGGCAGGCUGGCAGCAGGGGGGGCGGCAGCAGGGCGCCUGCACAGAGAUGGGCUGGCAGCAGGUGGAGGCCCAGCAGCAGGGGCGGCAGACCACGGCCNNNNNNNNNNNNNNNNNNNNNNNNNNNNNNNNNNNNNNNNNNNNNNNNNNNNNNNNNNNNNNNNNNNNNNNNNNNNNNNNNNNNNNNNNNNNNNNNNNNNNNNNNNGGGGCGGCGGCAGGGCUCGCAGAUGGGGCGCGUGCAGCGGCAGGUGCAGGUCACGGGGCGGCACACGGUGGUCUGGCAGCUCACGGGGCGGCAGCAGCAGGGGUCGCGGCAGCAGCAGGGCUGGCAGCAGCCUCCCCCGCAGCCCAGGGAGGAGCAGGUGGAGCCGCAGCAGGAGCCGGACAUGGUGGUGUCUGGGGCUGGUUUGGGUCGGAGGGGUGAGAGGAUUCGGGUGUUGUCAGGUGUGAAUGCCUCCCUCCUGCUCUGGGGCCUUUAUAUACCCUGAGCGGGUCCUGAUGACCUCCACGACACAGGUGAUUGCCUUAUUUGUGUUUAUUCUUUCUGAAAUGGCACUGGUAAAUUAGUAAGCUCCCUAGACAUUUUUUUUUAGGUGCUCAGGGACUCAUGAAAGACCAUUUGCUUUCCUUAUUUGAGGGAAACCCAUUAUAUUUUGCUAUUUAUGGUUCAAAUAUGAACUUAAUGACCCUAACUUCAGAGUUUCCAAUUAUCUUCAGAAUUCAGUGAUGUUUUGCCAGUUGAUGUUUCGAUAGCACAGAAUAGCUGUCAUGCCCUUAGGUUCACUUACUGAUAGUGGAAGUGAAUUCCCCAAGUUGUGAGUGUCCAUUUCUACCACUAAGCUUCCUGGACAAAACAAGUUCAGAAAAGUAAUGUGAGACUAUUUGCAAAGGCAUGGUCUGUGAAUAAAAGAAGAGUUUUGCUGUGUACUUUUUGUAGCUACAGGAAUGCAUCUUAUCAUCUUAUCAGUGGGUUGUUUUUCCAAUUUUUAAAAUUUUGGUAAAAUACAUAUAAUGUAAAAUUUACUAUCUUAUCAUUUUUAAGUGUACAGUCAGGGUAUUAAGUCCAUUCAUAUUAUUGUGAACCAUCAGCACCAUCUAUCUCUAGAACUCUUUUCAUCUUGCAAAACUGAAUUCUGUGCCCAUUAAACCACAACUCCCCAUGUACCCUUCUUUUCAGUCCCUGGCAACCACCACUGUAAUUUCUUUUUUUUUUUUUUUUUCUUAAUUAUCUCCUUCCGCCCUCACAUACCCCAUUAGUAUUGGCUCCAACAUUAUUAGGCAUAUGACUUUAGGCAAGUCACUUACCUGGUUCCUUAUGUACAAAAUGUAGAAUAUAAAACCAGCCUCUGGUAACUACUGUUCUGCUUUCUGUUACUGUGAGUUAAGCUUUCUAAACCAUGAUGAAUUUCAUUUUUAAUCUUCAUGAUGACCAGUAUCACUGAGUUCUAGUAUCUAAGUACUUUGCUAAAAGAAAUAAAUGUACUAACUUACUCUUCACAAUAAUCCUAUGAGAUAGGUAUUGUUGAAUUCCUCAUUUUACAUAUAAGGGAUCAGAGAAGUGACUUGCCUAAGGUCAUACACCUACUACUGUUGGAGCCAAUACUGACUGCAAAAACAACCUGUGGGAACAUUAUUAGUAAGCCCAAGGAGCUGAAGAAUGGAACUGUGGUUACCAUAUUCCCUGUCAUUAAGGAAUGUCUGUUUUAUUUAGGAAUUUUAACAGUGAAUUUAUGUUUAAAAUAAAUGGUAUUUGUGAAAUGGCUGAUUUUUAGAGUUAUCUGAAAAGACUCUGUGUCUUCCCAGUAUCCUCAGGAAUUCAAAGAAUUAUCUCCCAAAGAGCCUUCUAAAAAUUCCAAAACAUACCAUAAGGAGAUAACAUCAAAGUUGGACAUAAUUGAGUGGUUAUGGAGCACUAUGAACAAAGCCACUGUUGAGAAAGAAGAAUUUACUCUACCCUUUAAGGUCCUUCUACCUGGACUAAGAAAAAAAAAUGACAUGAGACAGAUUAACAGGAGAAAAUAAAAUUCAGUAGAAUACUUAUGGGGAAUCCAUAUAGCUAUGGAAAUUUCAAAGAUAGUGAGGCAACAUGAUACUUAUAUGAGCUAAGGAGAGGGGUGAGGGUCUGAGGAUACAAAGGGGAGAAAGACCAUUAGCAGGAAGGUGGGAGAUGUUUAGAAAGCGAAGGUUGCCCUAUUAUGCAGGUAAGUUUUUUAGAUAAAGAGGAAUCUCUGUUAAUAGCUUUCUUCCUGGUAGAGACAGGUAGUUGAGGGAGAGGUAAAGAAUGUUUCUUGAAUCUGUUGGGUUUUGAUUGGAUUUAACUCAAAAGAAUGUUUACACCAAAGUGGCCCAUUUGGGGGCAGCCUGCCCUUGGUCCCUACCCUACCAUCUGGAUAAAGGUUGUGGUCGGCCAGCAUAACAGAGCCCCCAGGUAGUGAUCCCAGCCAAAGGUGACCUCCAGGCCCACGUUGUCUUAUCCCAGUGUCUUGCUCCAUUGUUUCCCCAUGUACUACACUUGAGCAUAUUCCUGCUUACAGAGCCAGUUGUGAUUCUCAGUUGUUGUGAUUCUCAGGACUGUAGGAAAAUCAUGUCACAUGGCCAUUUUAUAGACUCUGCCUUUGGAUUUCCUUGGUUCUGACCUUUUGCUUUACAACUAAGUCUGUUCUAGAUCUGUGAUUGAAGACUGUAGUGCAGGCCUCCUUCUUGAUCAUUCUACUUGCAUAGUCCCUUGCUGGCUUACCCAGAUCUUCACCAGCCACUGUGGCUAACCAUGGCAUGGAAUUACUGGGGAAACAAACACAAUCUCAUAAUAAUGAGGAGCUUGGGAGUACACAAAGCAUUCCACAUCUGAGAAUAUAUUAUAAGAAUAGGAAUUUUCUAGAAGGCUAACCAGGAAAAUUCUGAGAGGAGGAAAACAAUGUAGUUAGAGACUUUUAAAAAUGGUGUUCAAGAACAUGUAGAAAGAAACUGGAUUUGUGAGCCCAUCUACCAGUAAACCAUCAAACCCUUACUAAAGAGAAAACCAUUGUGUAUGCAGAUGUUUUGAACACAAUGGGAUUCUUGUUGAGAAAUUUUUACUGUAUUUCAAGAAAAGUACUUUCCUUCAUGAGAAAGCUUAUUUAUUUUAUUGUAAGAAUGCACGAGUCCAGCAUGAGGAGAGAAUCAAUGAGGGAUGAAGAUGUUUUUCUCUCCUCUAACCCUGUAGAACUUAUUCAGUCAUUCAGCAAAUUUUGAUUAAAAUCCUGCGUGCCAAACAUGGUGCAGGUCAGUGGGAAUCCAGUGGUGGACAAAGUCAGUCAAGUUCCAGGACUUCACAAAGCUUACCUGGCUUGCCUCCUCUCUCUGGGCAGGUAGAUAUGCCCAAGCAGACAAGCAACACAUUCCAAAAACCCCUUUAGAUUAUAUGCUGGGAACUCAAUGUGUAUUUCUCAGAAAAACACCAGUGGUUGGUUUACUGACCAGCCUAAGUGUUUAACAACAACAAAAGCAUAUCCAGUGUGGAUUAAUGUUUAAUCUUUCAACUACAUUGGCAUUGUUUUAAUGGUAAAAUGAUUUGGAGUUCUAAUUUAGAAUUGUUCCAGCUAAGCUACAUAUCUCCUUCUCUUCCCAGCAGCAGUGACCUUAUUAUAAUCAGAAUUGGCCAGGGGUACCUGGGUGGCUCAGUCAGUUAAGCGUCUGACUCUUGAUUUUGGCUCAGGUCAUGAUCUCAUGGUUUGUGAGAUCAAGCCCCACAUCAAGCUCUCUCUUGAAAUAAAUAAGUAAGCAUUUAAAAAAAGAAUUGACCAUAGUGGUGCUGGAGGGGAGCCUUGGGAAAGAUGGGAGAGUGGUUCUUCCAGCCUAGGCCUUCAGUGGUUCAGCAUUCCCAGGUACCAACUAAUAUUAAUCAUGGUACAGUUUCCUAAAUCAGGGUAUAAACAUAGCUCUGACUUAGGCUUCCUCCCCCUUAUCACAUGUAUGGGGAUGAUUCAUGGGUCAAGUUCAUGAUUAGAGAAACCGCUGUAGUCUUAUUUCCUCAGCAUCACCACAAAACUUGUGACUUCAGAUAUGAAGGUGCCUCCCAUGAGAUAUUCUGUAUUAUUUGAACUACUAUUAAAAUUAUAGACCUUGCACCUGAAUUGUUCCUAAAGCUAAAAAAAAAAAAAAAAAAAAGGCCCUUGAAAAAAUCCUUCUUCCUUUGGUUCUUCUGAUUCUGCAUACCAUACCUUAAGCUAAAAAAAGCUUUUGAAGAUUAAUAAACAAUAAAGAGAAACACGUUUGCUUCCCAGAGAUAAAAUUUUUAUUAUUUUACCAUGUGAAACCCCAGCACAAAUGUAAUGAUAUCCUGGAAAAUUAUCCCAUCUUGAAAUAGUAGAGAUGUGAUGAUGAGUCAGUGGAAUAGAGCUUCAUUCAAGAAGAACUUUGAUCUUUGUUCACUCAUUUUCUUUCAGGCCAGGAAUUCAAAUGAGGAAAGCUGGGAUGUUUCUAAAGAUUGUCAAAGAGGGCCAGGAUUAACUGGGUAAUUAUGUGGGAAAAAGGAUAGACAGCUACUGUUGUUAGUUGUUGAAGAGCAGGUAGUUUGCAAGGGACGUAUCUCAUCUGAUCCCUUGGGGUGGGAAAGAGUGUUCACAUGUUUCUGAACACCUGGGAACGCUUCUCAAUGGGUGGUUCAGCAGCAGGAGGUCCUGCAGGUGGUGCGGCAGGGGGCAGGCUGGCAGCAGGGGGGGCGGCAGCAGGGCGCCUGCACAGAGAUGGGCUGGCAGCAGGUGGAGGCCCAGCAGCAGGGCUGGCAGCAGCCUCCCCCGCAGCCCAGGGAGGAGCAGGUGGAGCCGCAGCAGGAGCCGGACAUGGUGGUGUCUGGGGCUGGUUUGGGUCGGAGGGGUGAGAGGAUUCGGGUGUUGUCAGGUGUGAAUGCCUCCCUCCUGCUCUGGGGCCUUUAUAUACCCUGAGCGGGUCCUGAUGACCUCCAUGACACUGGUUGUUUCCUGGAGUUGUGGCUGCCCAUUGAUCUCUAGAUUGGUGGAUUCAGUUGCUGAGGCAGCAGUUCCCAUCAUGGAAGGAUGCUUUCCUUUCCACCUGUCUGCUUUCUUCCUUGAAAUGAAUACUUGAUGAAUUAUAUCAUCCAAAAAAUUACCCAUGGAAUAACCAAACCUUCCAGACCAUGCCACGUGACAAGUUGAAAGUGUGAAGAAUCCAGUGUUGACGCCAUCACACUUUCCUCUUGUUUGUCUUGUUCACCACCCAUGACUCAGUGCAAGACUGUAGUGUUCCUGAGGUCACAGGCCUGGUUUCUGAUUGACCUUGAGAUGAAGCAAGAAUUUCUAAAACACCAAAUGACUCAUGAAAGGAGAUGUGUACUCAUUGUGCUAUGGGAAGAAUGGUCCAGUGCUUCUGGAAAACAACACAGUGCUUCACUUCGCUUGUAAGAAAAUAAUCACCAGAGCCACUGGCGUGAUAUUGUUUAGUAACUCACUUGGCUUAUAAAUCAGAGUCACUUCUAAAGACUCUUACUAUGUAAACAGUACUAUUUAUGAGUGGAGAGGGAAAGGGAAGAAGAAGAUUAAGUUCCAAGUAGAUUCUUAUCACACAGCAAUUACAAAUUUUAGGAGGGUAAGACAAAGGCAGAUAAAGUAAUCAAAGCAGAAGACUUUUCAUAGGACAAAAAGUUCAAAUUAAGUGAGGAUUUUAUUCAUAUUAUGCAUUUUGAAUGCCCCUCCCUGAGUAUGGUCUUAGAAAUAAAAUUGAAAUUGGGAUCCCUCUUUCUUUCUAGGUGUUACCAUAAGCACUUGUAUUGAGUUCUACAAAACACGUUGAAAAUAUUUAUAAAGGAACCAGUUAUCUUUUCGUAGUAGAUACUUUGGUCUGUUGGCCGAGGAUUUGUUUGCUUAUGAAGUGUGAAAUUGGCUUCAGAAAAAAACAGGGGAAUUAAAUGUACUGGUAGCUGAUAAAAUAACCUUGUCUUUUUCAGCCACAGCUAAGGAAAAUGGGGGUAUAGAAAAUAAUUUAUAGUUGGAAGGUAGUUUAAGGAUGACACUAUCCAAGGGUUGCUGAUGACUCUCAGACCAAGUGUUCUCCAAAGUGUGGUUUAUUUAAAAAUUUUUUAAAAAUGUUUAUUCAUUUUUUGAGAGAGGGACAGAGCACAAGUGGGAGAGGGGCAGAGAGAGGGAGACACAGAAUCUGAAGCAGGCUCCAAGCUCUGAGCUUUCAGCCCAGAGUCUGACGUGGGGCUCAGAUCCAUGAACCAUGAGAUCAUGAACCUGAACUGAAGUCGGAUGCCCAACUGACUGAACCACAGGUGCCCUGAUAUAAUCAUUUUUUAAUACACUCCUUGGUCUGCCUAGCUGUGGUCCUUGAAGGCCUUUGAAUUUGUGACCCAUCAUGGUCCUUCAAAGUUUUUGGAAGGCCAGGUUUGUGAAAUGAUUUCUCUAAAGAUAUACAGAUAAGAGAGUGGCAAAGCAUAGAUAGUACUGUGGUCUUCCUUUGAGUGUAAACACUGAUGAGUGACAUAGUCUUUUCCAACUCUUACUUCAAACCAGUGAACAGGUAGUAGUAGUUAUCAAAACUUCUAUCCCAUCUAGUGAAAUAUAAUGGGAACUUGCUUGAUUUAUGGUUUAGUGUAUUGUUAUUUGGCUUAGAAUAUAUACAGUGACUAAAUUGUCAGGAAUAGAAAUAUGUCUGUAAACUCACUGCAUUUCUUAACUAACAAAAAGGAAAGAAUACUAAGAAAUUCUGUGUCCUGAAAUCAUAGACUGUCAGAAACUUUGCUAUUUGAAGCCACAUCAGUAAGAAGUGAAGAUCCCACUAUUUCCUGGACAGGAUCUUAGUCACCUUAACACAGAGAAGCAGCUUCAAUAUCCAGCCCAGAGGCAGAGUUUCAGAUCAGAGGUUUUCAGAAACAACAUUCCUCAUUUAUCUUAACUAUGUAGUUUUCAAAGAAAGAGGACUUAAGUCCUUGUGACAGCCCAGUCCUCAUGUGAAUUCUUGUGUUUUUACUUAAACUCUACCAUUCUUCAAAAUCCUAUAAAAAUAGCUUUUCCUUUGUUUUGUGGGAUGCCUCUGGUCCUAUGCUGUGUGGUCUCCUUUGCACAUUAAUAGGCCUAAGCUUUUUGGACAACAGAUUGUCCCUAGUCUUUGUCACAUGGGCUUUUUUAGUCCUGUUAUUUGAAUUCCAGAUGUUCUGCAAGAGCAUAACCACAAGGGUGGGAGUAAGUAAAUGUUAAUCACAAUGGUGAUAAUUUGUGGGAUUUUGUGGUUGGACUGACAGUAUGCAAUGCUGAUGACUUUUUCUGAUGGUGAACCACACACCCUCUUCUUCAUAGUUUCAUGGGUUGUGUUGUUAGGAGCUAGUUUGGGGGCCACUGGAUGUUAGGAAGAUUUUAAAAUUCUGAAAACAGAAUAUCUGUUCCCUGUUCUGCAAAAUGACCUUUGAAAUAUCCUCCAAUCGUAAGAGACACGAGGAUAGGAAAGAGUGAGGGAGAAAGGGCAGGGGGAGGAUGGGGAGACAAAGAGGGAUUCAGAUCUAAGAGGGCUUAGAGCUAAUACCUGUCCUCUGCCAGGGCCAGUCUCCUCAGCUGUAAAAGGGGCUGAGUCUUCUGUCCAUGAUGUUCUUCAUAGGCUAGGUUUAUCAUAAAACCUGUACAGUGGGGAAGACAAAAGAAAUGGAUAUCAUUCAUUGAAAAGAGAGAAUGUUUUAGAUGGAAAAAUUCUAGAUGAUCAGGGAACGGGUGGAAUUUUUUUUCUGGAAUUUAACAAAUACAUAUCUUUUCUGCCUAAUAAAUACCAUCUUCCUAAAGCCAGGGAAGACUAACCCAAGUAAUCUUACAGCUUAAGUUGUUUGCCUUCUUUGGGUGGUUCAGGGUGGAAUGAAAAGUCCAUCAGAUACAUGUAUUAUCUCCAUUGCUCCUGAUGCCAAACCCUUAUUCAUAAAUCCUGUAAGCUAGGACUCUCUCCUAUGCAUUAGCCCUUUCAUUCUGAGACAGCUUCAAUUUGCUGAUGGAUUUUUUCUUCCUUCUUUGUUAUACUUACUAAACCUUAGGAGUGUGCUUUGUUAUGUUAGGAAAUCUGUUUCUGCCAAUGGAUGUGGACUGUCUUGAAAAAACAAGAAGCCUUCCCCUCAAUCCUCUCCCACUUUCAGUGACAUGAUAUGUCAUAAAUAGCACAUCUUUUGAGCCUGUUUGAUACAGUAAUGUUCCAAUGUGUAACAAGGACUAUCAGUGAAUGGUGCUUGGUAAAUACUGUGUGCCAAUCACAUUACAUACAUAAGGUCAUUUAACUUUCCUAGCAACCAACAUUGGUGAGAAUUAACUUUCCCGUUUGGCAGAUGAAGAAACCUGAAGGUCAGAGAAGUUAAGUUAUACUGAUGCUGAGGAUUCUGCCUUAAGUAAAAUACCUACCUUUUAGAGUUCUUGUCAUAAAGACAAUUGCCUUCUAAUUUUGUUUGAUUCAAUAGAAAUCAAGUACCAACCAUAUUCUAAACAUUGAGCUCAGUACUGAAGCCAUUAUAAAUUGUGUCCCCUUUGUUGGAGGCAGAAAAAUAGAUCAUCUCAAUACAAUGCCUUGUGGGGAGGGAGAUGAGUAUAGGAUCGCUUUUGGAACAUGUUAGGGGCACCUGACCUAGCGUGUGUGUGUGUGUGUGUGUGUGUGUGUGUGUGUGUACGUGUAUGCGGACAUGCAUGCCUGUGAGUACAUGAAUAUGUGCAGGUGUGUGUAUGCGGUAGAGGGGUUAGGACAGAACUGUUAGAGAAGACUGAGCUGAAUCUUGGAAAUGACUGAGUGUUAGGUGGAUGAAGAAUGUGGAGGGUAGGAGUAGAUGAAAAAAAUAUUCCAGAUAAAUGCAAGAAUAUGACAAAAGCAAAGACAUAGGGAACUGCUUGGCAUGUGCCAGUUACUGUGAGUUCAGUGUUACUUGAAGUGAAACUUAGUGGGGGGUGUCGAGACAUGAACGUGGACAUCUGGGCAAAGGACAGGCCCUGGAGAACCUUGUGUGCACAGAUUUCCUACCCACAUAAGCAGUCUGAGGACUAGCCUGGCCAUCCUGCAGCACCUUCCAAAACUCCAUUCCUAACACCUCUCCCUUUUCUCUUCUGUCUUCCUCACCUUCUCCAUCUUGUCUUCCUUCUUCCUUGUCCUCCUUCCUUCCUUCUUCCUAUUCCUUGUCUGCUCAGCUAUGUACACUAAUAAACAGGCACUACUGAAUGAAUCAGGUAGCAGGGAGGUUUACGGGAAAAAUUAGUUUAUUGAAAAUAAGUGAGCAGCACAUUACAAAGGAUGAUGAGGAGGGUUUGGGCAGCCUUCAGAGUUCAGGAUGGGUUUGCAAAGUCCACUCCAAGGACUUUUAAGAGAGAUCUACCAUCCAUGGUGUCUUCUGCUGAUGGAGACACCUGGGUAUUUGGCUGAGGGUGGUGAUGGACAUCUGCUUGUGUAUCCAACUGGUAGGAUGUAAAAAUGGCUAUUGUCACCUUAUGAAAAAUAUCUUCUUUUCUUUCCACUUUCUUAAAAUGCGGAAUAGGUGCUUAGGCUCCAGUGUGUUGCUAUUUAGGGAUGGUAGGGGUCUCAGCAGCAGGAGGUCCUGCAGGUGGUGCGGCAGGGGGCAGGCUGGCAGCAGGGGGGGCGGCAGCAGGGCGCCUGCACAGAGAUGGGCUGGCAGCAGGUGGAGGCCCAGCAGCAGGGGCGGCAGANNNNNNNNNNNNNNNNNNNNNNNNNNNNNNNNNNNNNNNNNNNNNNNNNNNNNNNNNNNNNNNNNNNNNNNNNNNNNNNNNNNNNNNNNNNNNNNNNNNNNNNNNNNNNNNNNNNNNNNNNNNNNNNNNNNNNNNNNNNNNNNNNNNNNGGGGCGGCGGCAGGGCUCGCAGAUGGGGCGCGUGCAGCGGCAGGUGCAGGUCACGGGGCGGCACACGGUGGUCUGGCAGCUCACGGGGCGGCAGCAGCAGGGGUCGCGGCAGCAGCAGGGCUGGCAGCAGCCUCCCCCGCAGCCCAGGGAGGAGCAGGUGGAGCCGCAGCAGGAGCCGGACAUGGUGGUGUCUGGGGCUGGUUUGGGUCGGAGGGGUGAGAGGAUUCGGGUGUUGUCAGGUGUGAAUGCCUCCCUCCUGCUCUGGGGCCUUUAUAUACCCUGAGCGGGUCCUGAUGACCCCCAUGACACAGGUCAUUUCUUGUUAAUCUUCUGGCCAAUUAAGUGAGGAUUUAGCAUUGAGUAAACCAUGUUUGUUAACACUUUACCUUAUACACAUUCAUGCACACAACCACAAACAUUCCUUUGUUUUCUCAUAUUGUUUAUUCUCACCAAAUCUAGACAUUGGAUUCAAUUCUGAUGAAUUUCCUUUUGAAACAUUCCUAACUCAUAAGAGAGAAAAGAAUGUGUUUUCUAAACGAGAUUAGUAUCUAAUUACUCUGCCCUUUGGCCUUGAAGUCAGCAUUUUAUUCCUGGACUUCAAGGACUCAAUUACCACCCAAACAUGACCUGUCUUAUUUUCACUCAUGCCCCUGACCGUAACAGGUUAAUAGCAGCACUCUUGUGUAGGCCAUUCGUGUGAGCUGUGGACUCACCACAACUCUGGGAGAGGCAGGUUUGUAGUUUUCAGAUGAGGGGGGAACCACAUGGCACCCUGGACCUGUGGUCUGGUUGCUCUUCCCCAGUAGGAUCUGGGCUGUCCUGCCCUGGUUGUUGUUUCCCUAUUCUCUUGGAAUGCCUUCAUCUUCCUUCCAAACCAAACUCAACUUCUACCGUGACUGUAACAUUUUUAUCAAGGAUCCACUGCAAUUUUUAUCUUCGUAAUAAUUUAUUCAGAAUUAUCAUUGCAUGUGUAGAUUCUGGGAAGGGACUAUAGAGAAUAUAUAGCCCUAUCCCCUCACCUUACAGGAGGGGUCAUGUGAAUUCACGCAGUCACAAUGGGGUCUAGGUCUCCUCAUUCCUCAGUAAGCAGCCUCUACCAUGAGUAUUAUGUUUAUCAGGUUCAGUAGACCAUAGCCUUCAGACAGGAGAGAGAACAUCUCAAGCAUUCCCCCUACCGCAUUUUUAUCUCAAGUCUUUAAAGUGAGUAAGCAUUGUUAAAAGUGAUACUGGAAGAGAAUUAGGGAAAUGUCUUGUCCCAAUGACAGAUACUUCGAAAGGGGCUUGGGACUUGCGUGCUGGGUAAGAUCUUUGUACCAGUGCAGAGGUUUCUCUGAGGACUGAUCAACAGAGCUUGGCUUAUUGGUGGAUAGGAGUGUGAGGGUUGCCUGUUCCCAGGAUGUUCUAAGUAUAGUCUAGUUUCCUUUGGUAAUACAUUGUGGCACUGUGAGAUAACGUGCUUGCCUAAUUCCUUUUAUUGUUUUUCAUUUGUACUUCACCCCAUACCUUAGCCUUUGUGAUGAGUUCCAUAAAUUUAUUCUUACUUAAUGGAGUAGAACUGUACUUUUCCUUUGGAUUUGAGGGGGAAAAAGAAUUCUGUCCAGUCAACCCCACUUACUUUCUUUGAGCACUAAAUGAAAGAAAGGGCCAAGAACUUGCAAACCACCAAUCAAAUGUCCUAAAAUUACUAUCUUGAGCUUAAAGGGGGAGGCUUUUUGUUGUUUUCAUGGGAGAAUUAGUUUUAUUUUUGCUUCAGUGAUAUCAUGGAAGAUAUCAUCAAUGCUGAAUUAGAUGAAAUUCAUUCUCUAUAUCUCUUCAUCCCAAGAUUCCCUCUUGGCUCCUUUUACAAUAGUUGAUUUUUAGUGUGCAGACUAGGUAAUUGAGAUAAUGUGGCUAGAAUUACAUGCAAGCUAGUUUCCCAUUGCCACCAUGGUUGAAUUAGUCAGCUAUGAUGCAUAACAAGCAACCACAAGCUCUCAGAACAUGCAAUAACAAAUAUUUAUUUCUUGGUCACAUGUCUGCAGGUCAGUUGGGUUUUGGUGGAUUACGGCUGGUCUUGGCUCCGGCAGCGAGUUGGUUUGGGACUUGCUUCUGAAUUAGAGUUGCCAGAUUUAGCAAAUAAAAAUACAGGUGCCCAGUUAAAAUCGGAUUUCAGAUAAACAAAUAUAUCUUUAGUAUAAGCAUGUCUGAGUAUGCAUGGGGCAUUCUUACAUUAAAAAUUUACUGUCAUUUAACUGAAAUUCUGAUUUAAUGAGGUGUCUUGUAUUUUAAUUGGCAACCCUAUUUCUAAUGGCAGAAGCACAAGGGAGCAAUCCAGUCAUGCAGGCAUAUUUAAAGUCUUUGCUUGGAUCAUGUCCUCUAACAUCCCAUUGGCCAAAGCAAGUUACAUGGUGAGUUCCAAGUCACAGGGUGCGAGAGUGGGAGAGGAUACUUCUCCCAGAGGGGUGGGAAGGGGAAGAGAGUAAAUAUUAAUGAAGAAUGAUCUAAUCUUCCAGAGUAGUAAAUAAAUUAUUUUAGUAAUCUUUGUUGUGAAGCUUGGACAAAGAUUGUAGAAAGCCAAAUUAGAUUAUGGUUACUGCAUUUCCAUUCAUUUGAGUAAAUUUACUUCUCUUCCUCCUUCCCUUCCUGGUCAACCAGGAAAUUUCAUUGAUUUAAAAAGAGACCUCCUUAUCUACACAUUUAAUGCAAUCCCUAUCAAAAUACCAACAGCAUUUUUCACAGAACUAGAACAAACAAUCUUAAAAUUUGUAUGUAACCACAAAAGACCCCAAAUAGCCAAAGCAAUCUUGAAAAAGCAAAGCAAAGCUGGAGACAUCACAAUUCUGGACUUCAAGUUAUAUUGCAAAGCUGUAAUAAUCAAAAUGGUAUGGUAUUGGCACAAAAAUCGACACAUAGUUCAAUAGAACAGAAUAGAAAAUCCAGAAGUAAACCCACAAUGAUAUGGUCAAUUAAUCUUCAACAAUGCAGGAAAGAAUAUCCAGUGGGGAAAAGACAGUCUGUUCAACAAAUGGUGUUGGGAAAACUGGACAGCAACAUGGAAAAGAAUGAAACUGAACUUUUUUCUUACACCACACGUGAAAAUAAAUUCAGAAUGGAUUAAAGACCUAAAAGUGAGACGUGGAAUCAAAAAUCAUAGAAGGGAACACAGGCAGUAACUUCUUUGACAUCGGCCAUAGCAGCUUCUUUCUAGAAAUUUUCCUGAGACAAGAAAAACAAACAAUUGAGACUACAUCAAAAUAAAAACCUUCUGCAUAGCAAAGGAAACAAUCAACAAAACUAAAAGGCAACUUACAGAAUGGGAGAAGAUAUUUGCAAGUGACAUAUCUGAUAAAGGGUUAGUAUCCAAAAUAUAUAAAUACCUUAUAAAACUCAACACACAAAAAGCAAAUAACCCAAUUAAAAAAUGGGCAGAAGGCAAGAACAGACAUUUCUCCAAAGAAGACAUACAGAUGGCCAACAGACAUGAAAAAAUGUUCAUCACUUACUAUCAGGGAAAUGCAAAUCAAAACUAUAAUGAGAUAUCACCUCACACCUGCUGGAAUGGCUGAAAUCAACAACACAAGAAACAAAUGGCAUUGGUGAGGAUGUGGGGAAAAAGGAACCCUCAUGUACUAUUAGUGGGAAUGCAAACUGGUGCAGCCAUUGUGGAAAACAGUGUAGAAGUUCCUCAAAAAGUUAAAAAUAGAACUACCCUAUGAUCCAUCAAUCGCACUACAAAAACACUAAUUCAAAGGUACAUGCACCCCUACGUUUAUAGCAGCAUUAUUUACAAUAGCCAAGAUGUAGAAGCAGCCCAAGUAUCCACUGAUAGAGCAAUGGAUAAAGAAGAUGUAGUGUGUAUAUACAAUGGACUAUUAUUAAACCAUAAAAAGAAUGAAAUCUUGCCAUUUGCAAUGAUGUGGAUGGAGCUAGAGAGUAUUAUGCUAAGUGAAAUAAGUCAAUCAGAGAAAGACAAAAACCGUAUGAUUUCACUCAGUAUGUAGAAUUUAAGAAACAAAACAGAUGAACAUAGGGAGGAAAGAAAAAGAGAGGCAAACCAGAAAACAGACUCUUAACUAUAGAAGACAAACUGAGGGUUGCUGGAGGGGAGGCGGGAGGAGGAUGGGUUAAAUGGGUGAUGGGUAUUAAGCAGUGCACUUGUGAUGAGCACUGGGUGAUGUAUGGAAGUGGUUAAUCACUAAAUUCUACUCCUGAAACUAAUAUUACACUGUAUGUUAAAUAAUUGGAAUUGAAAUAAAAACUUGAAGAAAAAAAACGCUUCCCAAUAAUAAACCGGACAUUAACUAUUUAUAUACAGAUUGCCAAAGAAUAUUUUCAACUUUUCUUCAUAAAUAUUGCAUUGUUUUAUUAGACCUAUUUUGAAACAGUUUAUAAUAUUUGUAGCUCUUGUGAAUGGAAUCUUCAUUUCUAUUAAAUUAGAAUUACUAAUUGAUUCUUUUCAGGUUAUAAAAAUGUUACUGAGUUUUUUGUUUGUCAAUACUCUAUAUAGUGACUUCCCUAAACUCUCUUUUUAGCACAAGUUUGUAGGUUUUUUUGGAUUUCCUAUGUUAACAACAGUAUUGUCUACAGGUAUCAACAAUUUUGUUUUUUUUUUUUUUCUGUAAUGCUUUUUCUCUUAAUCAGAUUGAAUUGAGUAGAAUCUCAAAUACAACAAUGAAUGAUAGGAGUGGUAUCAGUUAUCCUUGUCUUAUUUAGAUUCUACUAGGAAUACUUCUAAAAUUUGUUAACUAUUAUGUUUUGCUAUGAAGUUUUGAUAAAUAGCAUUCAUCAGGAUAAAAAUGUCCUCUUUUAGCCCUGUUUUGCUUAGAGUGUUUUAAAUAGUAAAUGGCUGUUGUGAUGGUCAAUUUUAUGUGUCAACUUGACUGGGCCAUAGUAUGCUCAGACAUUUGGACAAACAUUCUGGGUGUGUCUGUGAAACUGUUUCUGGGUAAGAUUAACCUUUGAAUUAGUAGACUGAAUAAAGCAGAUGACCCUCUCCUGUGUGGGUGGACCUCACAGAUCUGAAUAGAAAAAAAAGGCUGACUUCCCCUUCAACUUUGAUUAAAAGAGAACUCCUCCUUCUGACUCCCUUGACAUCAGUCUUCCUGACUUCAGAGUUGAACUGAAACAUUGGCUCUUCUUGGGUCUUGAGUCUGCUGGCUUUUGAACUGGAAUUUACAUUAUCAGCACUUCUGGGUCUCCAGCUUGUCAAUUGCAGAUUUUAGGACUUCUCAGAUUCUGUAAUCUGCAAUUCUAUAUAAUCUCAGAUUCUAUAAUCCGUCCUUUCCCCCUCCUCUCUCUCUCUCUUAUGUUUGUGUGUGCAUGUGCGUAUUUAUGUAUAUAAACAUGUGUCUAUAUCUACAUCAGUCUCCCACUGGUUCUGUUUCUCUGGAGAACCCUGACUAAUAUAGUUGUUAUAUAUUACUGAAUUAUUUUCCCACAGCUAUUGAUAUAAUCCUGAAGGUUUUUUUUGUUUGUUUUUGUUUUUUGUUUUUUUUUGUUUUUUUUUUUUUACCUUUAAUGUACUAGUAUCAACAAGCUUAUUUAAAUACUUUCUAAUUUUGAAACAUUCUUGAAUGUCUAGGACAAACUAGUUAGUUGUGAUGUGUUAUUCCUUUUAUAUAUAUUGCUAAAUUUCACUUACUAAUAUUUACUGGCUUUUUGCAUCUAUGAUCUUCAAUAACAUAGGCCUGUAAUUUUUCCUUUAUCACUUUGUUCUUGUCUGUGUCUGAUGUUACUGUUAUACUUAAAAUGAAUUGGGAACAUUUUCCUUUCUUCUGUUCUCCCAUCCAAGUACCAAUGAGGACUGACUCUGCUUAGCUUCUGAGAUGAGAUGAGUUUGGGCACAUUUAAGGUGGUAUGGCUGUAGACCUUUUCUUCUGUUCUUUUUCCCAGUUUGAAUGGGAAAGAACUUUAAGGUUUAGUAAACUUACUUGUAAACCAACGUGGGUUUGGCAUUUUUAAUAUCAAUAUAUGUAGAGGAUAGAUUUUGGAUCAUAGUUAUAGUUUCUUUAAUGGUUAUUGGCUUAUUUAUAUUUUGUAUAUCUUCUGGAAUUAAUAUCUAUUUUUCUAGACAUAGUCAAUUCAAUCAUAAUUUUCAAACAUAUUGGUAUAAACUUAUGCAUAAUGUUCUUUUUUAAAAAAUUUUAUUAGUGUUUAUUAUUUUUGAGAGAGAGAGAGAGAGAGAGAGAGGGCAUGAGCGGGGGGAGGGGCAGAAAGAGGGAGACAGAAUCCAAAGCAGGCUCCAGGCUCGGAGCUGUAAGCACAGAGCCCAAUGCGGGGCUUGAACUCACAAUCUGUGAGAUCAUGACCUGAGCUGAAGUCGGCGCUUAACUGACUGAGCCACCCAGGGACCCCUAAACUUAUACAUAAUGUUCUAAUUGUUUUUAAAAGUUUCCACUCUCUUGGAAGCUGAUUAUUCUGCUUUUCAAGUAUAAUGUUAUUUGCCAGUCUUUCAGACAUUCUCCUUUUUCUCUCUCUCUUGGUCUUUGAUCAGUUUUACCAGACUUUUUCUAUUUCAUUAGUUUUUUUUUGUCUUUGUUGUGUUUAUAUAAUUAAUUUUAGUAAACAUUUCUUAUUGUGUUUAUGUAAUUUUAUUAAGCUUUUCAUUUAAAAAUAUGUUAUUAAUGUUUAAAUUUGUCAUUCUUUCCACAUUGGGUUUACUGAUUGAUGCGGGUUGUGGGAUGGAGAUGUAAUAGAAGGUGAGAAUUUCAAUGUGUGAUUCCAAAGCAUGGCUUCAAGAAAGGGAACCCUGUGCAUUGUUGGUGGGCAUGUAAAUUGGUGCAGUCUCUCUGGAAAACAGUAUGGAGGUUUCUCAACAAAUUAAAAAUACAACUGCCAUAUGAUCCAGCAAUUCAACUUCUGGGUAUUUAUCCAAAGAAAAUGAAGACAUUAAUUCAAAAAGAUAUAUUCAAUCCUAUGUUCAUUGCAGCAUUAUUUACAAUAGCCACGAUACAGGGGUGCCUGGGAGACUCAGUCGGUUGAGUGUCUGACUUUGGCUCAGGUCAUGAUCUUGCGGUCUGUGAGUUCGAGCCCUGCGUUGGGGUCUGGGCUGACAACUCAGAGCCUGGAGCCUGCUUCAGAUUCUGUGUCUCCCUCUCUUUCUGCCCCUUCCCCACUCAUGCUUUGUCUCUCUCUGUCAAAAAUAAAUAAACAUUAAAAAAAUUAAAAAAAAAUAGUCAAGAUACAGAAACAACCUAAGUGCCCAUCAGUGGAUGAAUGGGUAAAGAAGAUGUGGUGUAUAUAUACAAUGUAUAUAUAAAUGUAUAUAUAAAUACAAUUUUACCCAGCCAUAAAAAAGAAUGAAAUCUUGCCAUUUGCAACCACAUGGAUGGGUCUUGAAGGUAUUAUGCUACGUGAAAUGAGUCAAAAACAGAUACUGAAUGAUUUCACUUAUACGUAGAAUAUAAACAAAUGAAAAACAAAUGAACAAAACAAAACUCAUAGAUACAGAGAACAGAUUGGUGGUUGCCAGAGAUGAGUGGGGUUAGGGGAUGGGUGAACUGGGUGAAAGUGGUCGAGAGGUAUAAACUUCUAGUUAUAAAAUAAAUGUCACGGGGAUAUAAUGUAUAGGAUGGUGACUAUAGUCAAUAAUGUAUCACACACCUUAAAGUUGCUAAGAGAGUAAAUCUUAAAAUUUUUUGUUACAAGAAGAAAAAUUUUGUACCUUUAUACAGUGACAGAUUGUAGCUAGACUUACUGUGGCAAUCAUUUCUUAUAGUACACAAAUAUUGAAUUAUUGUGUACACCUGAAACUAAUAUGAUGUUAUAUGUCAAUUAUAUCUCAAUAAAAAAACAAAUUAAAAUUUAAAAAAUAAGAGCUAAAGACAUGAAUGAAAUCUGCCCUAAUUUAGGAUAUUAAGAUGUAUAUACAUGUGCAUAUACAUGUACACAUGUGCCACCUUUGUUCUAAUAUUUUAAAUGAUCUAUAUUUCGUAUAUAUAGCACUUAUUCUCAAAGUGAUUUCAACAUGAGUGUUCUUCCUGUAUCAUCAUGUAAAAUAUAGUUACCUAAUACUAAGUAAAAUGAUCACGAAAACAAUAAGGAACAAUGCCAAAAAAUUUUUAUGUGUAGAAAAGUUUAUUAGAAAGAGAAGCAACGAAACAUAAAAAAAAAUUUACUCUGUUAGAAAAUCUAUAACUGGAUCCCUAGGUCUGAGGGUAUAACUGAACCCCAGGUCAGAGGGUGUCAAAUCAGUACUGCACAAAGGUUGCAGAUAAUAUUCACUUUGUUAGGAAGGGUAAUCUAGAGCCCUAAAAUGAUAAGGAAGAAUGAGAAAUUUAGAGGAGUGGGAUUUUUUUUAGCUGAUGGACCACAUAUUAAUAUCCAUAUUUGAUGCCAAUAUUGAAAGGAAAAGAUAGUCAUGGAAGGAGCUUAACAUGAACCACAAUGUGCUCGCAGAGCCAGUGGCACAUUGGUGUUCAUUAGAAUGGCGAGGCUCAACCUGUUGAAUGAUGUCAGUCAGAUUCCAUGUGUCCCACAACACCAAAGAGUCUAUAUCUGAGGGGGCAGAAGUGAGUGGAGAUAGUGGUCACAGGGCAGGGGGCUCAGCAGCAAGAGGAGGCACAGCACAUGGGGCGGGGGCAGGUGGAGAUGACACAGGUGGGGCGAUAGCAAGUGGUGUGGCAGGAGACCCGGCCACAGACUGGGCGCAGGCAGCAGGAGGGGCAGCAGGAGGGGCGGCAGCAGCUGGAGCCACAGCAGCUGGGGCGGCAGCAGGUGGUCUGGCAGCAGGAGGGGCGGCAGCAGCUGGACACACAGCAGGUGGGCCGGCAGCAGGUGGUCCUGCAGCAGGUGGUCUGGCAGCAGGUGGGGCGGCAGCAAGGCUGGCAGCAGCUGGAGCCACAGCAGCUGGAACCCCCACAGCAGGGGCGGCAGCAGCUGGAGCCACAGCAGCUGGGGCGGCAGCAGGUGGUUCUGCAGCAGGUGCGGCAGCAGCUAGAAAUGCAGCAGGAGGGGCGGCAGCAGCUGGAGCCACAGCAGCUGGAGCCACAGCAGGAGGGGCGGCAGCAGCUGGACACACAGCAGGAGGGACGGCAGCAGCUGGAGCCACAGCAGCUGGAGCCACAGCAGGAGGGGCGGCAGCAGCUGGACACACAGCAGGUGGGCCGGCAGCAGGUGGUCCUGCAGCAGGUGGUCUGGCAGCAGGUGGGGCGGCAGCAAGGCUGGCAGCAGCUGGAGCCACAGCAGCGGGAGCCACAGCCCUGGUCAGAGCAGACAGAGCCACAACAGGAGCUGACCAUGGUGUCAGAGGAAGGAUUGGGGUUCCACUAGUAGGUAUGAGUGGGUUUCCACAAGGGUGGUUUCUUGAGUUUGAAUGUCUCCUUACCUCUGUCCCCUUUUAUACCCUGCUGAGGGUUACUAUGACCAUGUGCAGGACUCUUCUUGUUGUUUAUCCUAAUAGAAAAUCAGUUAGUUUUAGUAAAUUAGAUAAUUAUAUUUAUCUGGUGAAUAUUCCUAUAU
rnacentral:lncRNA from 1 species